rnacentral:lncRNA from 1 species
CGACUUGUCCUAGAUAGAAUCACUAUCAUUUGCUUUAUCCAACAUGUCUGCUACAAUUCCGCCUCUUAUCCGCUCCCUACGCUUGCGAACUCUAAAAGAGUGCUCGACCACCACAAUCCUGAGCUUCGUCAAUAGGCGUCCAAUCCUGGGAAAAAGGUAGGGUAGAAUCGCCGAGUCGUCUAGCACCGUCCCCUGCCUCAACUCCACAAUCACAAUCAUUUGUAAAAAAAGGUGGUUUGCUGCUGAUCCUUUCCCCGGCAUUGGAAAGACCUGACUGGUCUUGGUAAGUACCUGACAAACCUAAGGCUUGGAACUGAACUCAACUGACAGAAUGACUUGUAUGGAAUUGAGUUUAGUUUGGCCACAGGAGCAAAGGUCUCGAGAUAAUCGAUGCCAUAGGUUUGUGUGAAAUGGUCUUUUAGCGCUGCUUUCACAUGAUGCAAUAUCUAGGCCUCCUAGACCUGCUCUCUCGCCUAAGCCUCAUAGCAUUCAUAUUCCAAGCACUAAGUAUUACCUGCCCGCUUAGAUGCGUCAAUCCGCCUUCGGCCGUCUGUCGGAGAUUCUCUCUCGAGAUUUCUCCCCAAGUUAUAGGAUUUUCGUCUUCCUUAAGCACAUACUCACAAAUCGUCCCCCAUGACUUAUGGAACAAAACGUAAAUUUGAGCACCCCCGAAUUCAGGGAAAGCUUCCCUUAAUUUAGACGUUGCGGUAUACCUACUAGCAUUCUAGUUUAGAAGGGAAUAAGGGGCCUAAGCACGGCAGAUGCCGUACACUUGAGUGGCAAAGGAAAGCGAGACCGUACCUGUUUUUCCAGGCCUGUUCGGUUUCGGUCGGGAGACUACUCUAGAAAGAUUGAUUCCAAAACCACAACUGUACACCACCAAAGGGACCACGAAAGCAAAUAUGAGCCCCGAGACUAGGAUCCAGCCUUCUUCCGAGAGGAAAGAGCGGCUCAAGAAGUGGAACUACUAAGACCCGCGAGGGUCAUCCUUUCUUGAAUCGUAGCUCUCUCACAGGGCGAGGGACUAUUUGGCAUUUGCAUUAUUAAUUAGUUGGCAAGUCGGGCGCGUCCUCGGAGGGACUUCCCGAAUGACCGUACCGGGGAAUUCUACCGUACUCCGUGCUAUAUGAGCUCCCCGAGUGCUUUCUUCCUGGCUUUAGGAGGUAAUGAUCUUCGUUCCUCCCUCAGGGAGUGACUUUGUUAAUUGGAAUAUGCCUCAUAUCUUAAGUUGACCUAUUGCCUUAGCUUGACUUUGUUAUCCCGUUCGUGACCAAUACCCAUUGGUCACUUCACUCCCUUAAGAGGAGAUUCAACAAUAAGUAGCUUGGACUGUUCGGGCGGACAGAUUAGUCAAAAUGUAUCUAUCCAUGUUCUCAGUGUCUAAGCUGAUUCUUGUUCGGGACCUAGCUCGGAUGAAUCAUUCGAAUCUAAUCUGGUUCUGGUGAUUGCGUCUAGUAAUCCUUUAUUUAGUUGGUGGGACUCACAUUUCCUAUUCUUGAGUCUUCACUCGAUGUAUGCGCUUUCCAUUCACAAGAAUUGCGUAACAAAAAACAAUCCGUGAAUUCUUUUUUGAACAUUAAAGUGUGCUAAAAAAAGGAAAUUCUAUACAGCUCCUGAUUAUUCUGUCUGGCCCUCAUCUUUAGCGUGGAUAUCAUUGGUAUAAAUGAAUGAAACUGGAAUAUUGAAGGCUUGUUUCUGUCCAUAUAUAUGCAACUCUAACUCCAUAAAUUCUGGGCGUUUUCGAACGAAUUCUCCAAGUGCACCCUCUACGUCCCUUACUGCUAGUCUUGUUGGGACUGCGGAAAUGAGAGGACUCGUCAGUGUCGAUGUCACUGCAACCAAGGUAUGCGACCUCCAAAACCACCACUACACCCCCCUCGUGCAUCAGUGUGUGCUGCU